rnacentral:rRNA from 1 species
GUUUUUUAAAAUUAAUUUUAUUUAAAUUUUAUAUGAAAAUUAAUUUUUUGUUUUUCAAUUUUUAGGGGAAUAAAUUUAAAAUUAAACUGAAAGGGGUAAUUUAAAAUAAAAUUUUUAACAAGAAAAUUUAUUUAUUGUACCUUUUGUAUCAGGGUUAAUUAAUUUUUUUUAAUUAAUUUAAUUUUCCCGAAAAAUUAAGAUUUUAAUUUAUUUGGUUCUAAUUGUUACAUAAAUUUUAAUAAAAUAUAUUAAGACUUGAAAUGAAAAUCGUUUAAUUUGAUAUCUGGUUAUUUUGGAAAUAAAUUUAAUUUAGGUGGUUUUUUAAUAAAAUUUAUUUUUUUAUUUAUUUUUUGUCACAAAUUUAAGUUGGGUUAAUCUAAUUUAAUUUUUAUAAUUUUUUUAUGGGGGGUAAAGAAAUUGUAGGAUUAAAAUUUUUUUUCUUAAUAAAUUUGUUUUAAAUUAUUCUUUUACUAUAAAUGCAUUUAAUUUAUUACAAAAUUUUUAAAUAUAACUAUUUUUUUUAUUAAUUAUGAUUAAAUAAGUAAAUUUAAAUUUUUAUUAAAUGAACUAGGCAAAUAUUUUUCUGUCUGUUUAUCAAAAACAUUUCUUUUAGUUAAUUAUUAAAGGUUGGGCCUGCUCAGUGAAUGAUUUAAAUAGCUGCAGUAUUUUAACUGUACAAAGGUAGCAUAAUAAUUAGUCUUUUAAUUGAGGUCUAGAAUGAAUGGUUUAACAAGAAAAUAACUUUAUUUAAUUAAUUGGGUUGAAUUUAAUUUUUUAGUUAAAAAGCUAAAAUUUUUAAACAGGACGAUAAGACCCUAUAGAUCUUUAUAUUUUAGUGAUUAUACAUAUUUUAGGUUAUGUAAGGUUUUAAAUUAAAAUGAUUUGUUGGGGUGACAAAUAAAAUUUUUAAACUUUAUUUUUUAUUUACAUAUAUAAAUGUAUUAAAUUGAUCUUGAAUUUUGGAUUAAAAAAAUAAGAUACCUUAGGGAUAACAGCGUAAUAAAUUUGUAUAGUUCAUAUAGAUAAAUUUGUUUACGACCUCGAUGUUGAAUUAAUUAAAAUUUUUGGAGCAGAAAUUAAAAUUUUAGGUCUGUUCGACCUUUAAAAUAUUACAUGAUUUGAGUUCAAACCGGUGUGAGCCAGGUUGGUUUCUAUCUAUUUAAAUUAAAUUUAAUUAGUACGAAAGGACUUUUAAGUUUGAAAUAUUUUCU